rnacentral:lncRNA from 1 species
UCAUGUAUCCUUUGGAUGGAAAAGAGAGUAUGUGCUCAGCUCAUGAUUAAGUAUUCAGAUAUUUGACAUAUUCCUUGACAGUGUAGUAUUUAAUUACAUAAUAUUUGUGCUUCCAGAAGUGUCGCAAGAGUAAAAAAUCUGCAUGUGCUGCUCCAAGUAAAAUGAAGAGCAUGGUUGUUCAAGAAGAUUUGCUGAAAAAUGGUGCCUUCGUGGUUGCCCCGGUGAGUUGAUCUCGUGGUGACGUUUUGUUGUUUCUUAAAUAUGCAGGUUGCUUACAACAAAGUAGAAUUGUUCCAGAUGUAUUUUGCAUGCUCUAAGAAUUUGAUCGACAUCUUAUAUAUGCCCACUCUACCGUUUUCUUUAUCAAGCAUGUAAAGUUAAACCACUGGUUUUAUAUCUCCUUUAUUUAUUCCAUUUAUAUAGUCUCCAAAUGCUAUAAGGGAUUCUGUUGGUGCUCUAUUAACAUGAUUGCAUUUUUUGUUACUUCAUAAUAUUGCUGACAAAAUCUUAUUCUGCUUUCAGUGUGAGAGCGAGUUGUAUGUUGUAUGAACUAAGCGCAAAUUCAUAUUGGUCGGUUUAGCGGCUCGCUUGCAUUGACGACUGUGUGUAGGCGUGCUGCCAUAUCUGAGGCUAUAAUACAACAUUUUGUAUUUCUCAUGGAAGGAUGUGCCUGUGGUCCUUAAGGAUGUGGUUCACGGGGUUUGACUAUGGUUUGAUUGUCAAAUGAAAGGUCCCAGGUGAACUUCUGCUACUUUUGGUCUUAUCUCUCUACAUCUCCCCUUACAAUGAUUCAUAUUUUUCUGCCUCCAUUUUGUUUCUACAUACGAUGAAUUAUCUCUUUGCCAUAGUUACCUUUUUUUGUCCCCUGCAUAUCCAAAUCGAAAAAUACUUGUGGUUUGGUACAGUUGUAUUGCAAGUCGAAAAAUAUUGUAUGUGUUAAUAUCGGAUGGUCCAAGUUGAAAUUCAGUUUAUAUUAUUCAAUAUGCAUUCUAACAAACAUCUUGUGUUUGGCAUCAUUCUAAAAAAUAUUAAGUUCUGGUGUUAAUCGCAAGCAAAUAAGGGUAAGACACAUACCAUUUAUAUGUCAUUAAACGUUAUCACAAUUUCUAUGUUAUUAUAUUUUACCUCUGGUACUACAUUGUGAUCUUUCAAGGAAUUACUGCUUCCUUUCUACCCCUGGUUUUCUUUUUGUAGGAUAUUGUAGCCUCACUAGGAUGGAUUAAGAGUGUCAUCUGCUCCCUUUCCCUAAUCAAAUAGGACUUCCAAACUAAUGAUACUUGCACUCCUUUUUAUCUGUUGAUCUCUUUAAUUCUGAUUACAACUUAUGUUUCACAAAUAUAUGAAGGUUUCUACUCUUUUUCAGUGGUCCUUAGUUGAUCUCUUUGAUUUUUGAUUACAUAUUGUCUCUCUGAUUGUAAGUGAUUUUGCUGUUGUUUGUAGUUGGCACUUCUCAUUUCAGAAAUCAGCUAUCCUGGUAUUUAACCAUGUGAGUUUAGAGAGAACAACCAAAGGAGGAACAAGCUCAAGACAUGUUUAGCAGCUUCUGCUAAGUAAGUAUCCUUAGAACCUUCAACUCCAAAUAAAACAAAAAUUCAAGAGUAUGUUCUUCACAUAUGAAAUAGAUAGAUGCUGACAUGCUUGCUGCAUCUGAUGAGAUUGUGGAUCAAGAAGUUAAUGGACAUGCUUGUGAAUCAUGGACAAUCUCGGCCUGGUAUUGUGGCUCGAGUCUGAGCUCUUGCUUGGCUUUAGGUGCAAACAUGGACCUUCAGUUCACCUAGAACAAGAAUCAAAUCCUUGUGUCAAUUGUUGUUGUGAUAGGAGGCCCAUGGCGUAUGACCAUGAUGUAUGCAUUCACUCUGGGAUCUGAGAAUAAUUUGUUGAUCCUGUCUGAAAGAUAGUGGUUCGAUAGUGAAUUUAUCCACUUAUUUGUUGAUUUUUUUUCUUUUGUUGUGUUAUGUAUGGAGAUGCAGAUUCUCAGGCUUCAGGUUUUAGUUUUGGUAGUUCGAAGUGCUAUUGAUUAUGUUGUUGUAACUGGUCCUUGAUCAGCAUGGUGACUGAAGGGAUGACUCUUGAAAAUUAAGAUCCUUAUUAUGAGAUUGAGGUGAUGUAAAACUAUGUGCUCUUGGCAAAAUGUGUACUGACUUUAUUUGUUUU